rnacentral:rRNA from 1 species
AUUGAACGCUGGCGGCAGGCCUAACACAUGCAAGUCGAGCGGAUGAAGGGAGCUUGCUCCUGGAUUCAGCGGCGGACGGGUGAGUAAUGCCUAGGAAUCUGCCUGGUAGUGGGGGAUAACGUCCGGAAACGGGCACUAAUACCGCAUACGUCCUGAGGGAGAAAGUGGGGGAUCUUCGGACCUCACGCUAUCAGAUGAGCCUAGGUCGGAUUAGCUAGUUGGUGGGGUAAAGGCCUACCAAGGCGACGAUCCGUAACUGGUCUGAGAGGAUGAUCAGUCACACUGGAACUGAGACACGGUCCAGACUCCUACGGGAGGCAGCAGUGGGGAAUAUUGGACGAUGGGCGAAAGCCUGAUCCAGCCAUGCCGCGUGUGUGAAGAAGGUCUUCGGAUUGUAAAGCACUUUAAGUUGGGAGGAAGGGCAGUAAGUUAAUACCUUGCUGUUUUGACGUUACCAACAGAAUAAGCACCGGCUAACUUCGUG